AUUGAACGCUGGCGGCAUGCCUUACACAUGCAAGUCGAACGGCAGCACGGGUGCUUGCACCUGGUGGCGAGUGGCGAACGGGUGAGUAAUACAUCGGAACGUACCUUAUCGUGGGGGAUAACGCAGCGAAAGCUGUGCUAAUACCGCAUACGCCCUGAGGGGGAAAGCGGGGGAUCGAAAGACCUCGCGCGAUUAGAGCGGCCGAUGCCUGAUUAGCUUGUUGGUGGGGUAAAAGCCCACCAAGGCGACGAUCAGUAGCUGGUCUGAGAGGACGAUCAGCCACACUGGGACUGCGACACGGCCCAGACUCCUACGGGAGGCAGCAGUGGGGAAUUUUGGAUAAUGGGGGCAACCCUGAUCCAGCAAUGCCGCGUGAGUGAAGAAGGCCUUCGGGUUGUAAAGCUCUUUUGUCAGGGAAGAAACACCGGCUCUAACACAGUCCGGGAAUGACGGUACCUGAAGAAUAAGCACCGGCUAACUACGUGCCAGCCGCCGCAGUAA
rnacentral:rRNA from 1 species